rnacentral:pre_miRNA from 1 species
UGAACUCAAAUUUUUAUGGAGUUGGAACCUUUGCUUACGUUUGCCGCUAGGGGCGCUGUUCCAACUGCAUACAAAAUUGAGUUA